rnacentral:tRNA from 1 species
GGUAAUGUAGCUCAGUGGUAGAGCACUUGUCUAACAUGUACAAGCCCCUGGGUUCAAUCCCCAGUACUG